rnacentral:lncRNA from 1 species
UUAUAAAGCUUGAGUUGGAUGCAUGUUGUAUUACAAGAUGAAAAAGAUAAUUAAUAUGCAUCAUUUAGUGAUGGGGAUAUUUAUUAAUAUGGAGAUGUCGAAAAGAUUUGAAAUUUAAUUUCUAAAUACUUCAAGUGAUAUAGAUCAUGCUCAACGGUGCCGAUCAUCGAUUUGAAAGCUCCAUCAUCAAAAACAAAUGGGUGGCAACGGAGCUCGUUUGUUACCGAUAGCAUUCCAGCUCAACUCUAUAUAUAUAUAUAUAGAGAGAGAGAGCUAGUCUCCUAUACUAUCUAUAGUACCAGGGCUCAGGUACUAUAGUCUCGUUUUCGAUUUUAGGGUAUUCAAAUCAACGAUCCACACCGUUAAAACUGAUCUAGAAUAUUUAAAAUUUUAGAAAUAAAAUUUUAUAUUUAUUUAUGAUCAAACCAUUUCAAAAUUGUCAAUUUUUAAUGACUACUAUGGCGAGUUUGGAGUUUAACGGUGUAGAAGAAUCUAAAUUUCUUCAAAUUUUAAUAGAAAAUACUUUAAACUAUCUAGAUUAAGGUUAACAUUCUUGAUCUUGAAUUUAAAAGUCUUAUUCUCAAAUUUAAAGAUUAUUCAAUUUCUACCGUCCAUUUUGACAUAAUUUAUUUACUAAGUAAACGAUGUCGAAAAAAACUAAAAUUUUAUUCCUAAGAACUUCAUAUAUCCUAAAUCAUAUUUAACGGUGUGAAUUGUUAAUUUGAACACCCUAAGAUCGAAAACAAGACUAUAGUACCGGAGUUUCGGUACAAUAGAUAGUAUAGUAGUCUAAUUAUAUAUAUAUAUAUAUAUAUAUAUAUAUAUAUAUAUAUAUAUAUAUAUGUUGGAAUACUAUUAAUAGUAAAACGCUCUUUUGCUAUCAAGUGUUUAACCUUUGGAUGAAAAAUUGUAGGGUCAAGAUGAUAUUAGUCGGUUAGAGUUGAGUGGUCCCCCUAGGGAUGAGUGGUCCCCACUGGGUUAUAGUAUUUAAUCCAAUGGUUAGAAAUAAUGGAAAGAGUUGAUCCAAAGGCUAAAAAACUGAUAGCAACAAUAAAAUUUUGCUACUAAUAGUAGCCCAGUCCAACUAUAUAUAUAUAUAUAUGUGUGUGUGUGUGUGUGUGUGAGUGUGCAAGCUAGUGCUAAU